GUGGAAUUUGAUGUUGUUCAAAUGUAUUCUACUAAUCAUAUUAUUAUAAUUCAGCUUAUGUGUGCCUUUACAAAAUUGAUUCCUGUGCUGAAAAUAUGAGGGCUGUCUGUGUGUGUGUAAAAAACUGCAAGGUCUUGGUUUCGGUUGAACGUAGGACCGACCUUGCAGCUGCUGGUGAUAGCCAAAAUAAGAACAAUCCUUGAAAGAGAAAGCACACAGACAAAAGAAAUACAUGCUUUUGAUAUUAAUUCACUAAUAAUCAUUCAUUUCCAGAUUAUUACAUAUAGAAGAGUUUAGAUUUAAAACAUUAAAUGUUGUCAUGAAUAUUAAUGUAUUAAAAUAUAUAAAUGAUUAUGCCUUUGUGCCCAUGAAUAAUGUAGAAGAUUGCCCUGUAAUAAGACAUUGCCAUAUAAGGAUGAAACGCUCUAGGGCACAAGGUGUUCUGUAUGUUUGUGUGUUAUAUACCCCCACAGGCUGAAGCAGGGUGUAGUAAUGGAGUCAGAUAAUGAGAUGAGAACCGCCUGUUAUGGGGAGGAGAGAUUUGAAGAAAGAACGACGUCACAUAUCAUAUAAAUAUUCAUGUAUUUCCGUAAGCGGGGUUGGUUGCUUGCCACAUGGGGCCUUGAAACAACCCAGCGCUGUAAAACUUUUUCAUAUCUGAUCAAUAAAUAGCUUAUUUUUUUAAUACCUUGUCUUUCCUCUAAUUACGAACAUGCAAUGGACCCUUAAAGUCCAACAAUUGGUGACCCCGACGUUCUUUGGAGGGAAAGGAGAGACUGAGCGGAAGAAGGGUUUCACAUUGAAGAAACCAGAGUAAGCGAGGAUUCCCUUUCAACACAAAAAGAGCGCUCUAUUAAAAUAAGGUAAGCAGAAGCCUGUUUUAUCGAAUUCUGCUAUUUGGAUAUACCAAAUUACUUGUGUUGAUAAGGAGAUCCGAACUGAAUUACAAAUUUACAUUUUUUAUAAAUUGAUCAGAGUGAAAAACUUUUUGAAAUUUUUGAAUUUUGUUAUUAAUUAAAAAGGUUGAGGAUUCCUUUAAUACAUUAGGUAUUAUAAAAUACCGACUCGGUUGUAGCCGUAAGGAGUGAAAGGCUCUUGGAUGAAAGGUCCAUAAAUACUGUUAAUGGCGGUGUAAGUUAACAGAAUUAAUUAAAAAGGUUGAGGAUUCCUUUAAUACAUUAGGUAUUAUAAAAUACCGACUCAGGUUGUAUAGCCUGUAGGGGGUGUACAGCAGCCCGUUGGAUGAGAGGUCCACGAAUACUGGAAAGAAGAAGUGACGUCUUAAUGUGAAUAGUAUUGUUGAUAUAUUGUUGUUAUUUUUGUGACAUUUCUGUGAAAGUUGUAUUGUGUUUGUAUUGCGGGUGAAACUCCUGAAAACUACUGGUGUAUAUAUCCUUCUGCUAGAAAAGAGUGACGUGUUGUGCUUUUUGAAGUUUUGAACGCUUGUAAAUUGUGUGAAAAUGGCUAAAUUUAAAAAAAUGUGAUGAGUAUGGUUGCCUAACAGUGUAUGUGCAAUGGCAAAAAGGCAUGUAGUUUGGAAAGGGACCAACUGUAAAAGACUCAGAAACAGAUUUGAGAAAGGGGACGAGAAUCGCUUUUGUUGCAGCUGAAGUCGAGACGAUUACAAAGAGAAAAGGGGAGGUUGACAGUUGUGCUGUGAGCGAGCAAAAGGUAGAACAAGGAAGCACUGAGCCAGUACCCUCAGCCCCACCCAUGGCUCCUCCUCAAGUGAAGUCACUAUACCCCUCACUGCACACACCUCCUCCUUAUGAGGAAAAGUCUGUUUCGAUCUCAAAGCAACAGCCGGUGUUAACAGUAAACAGUGGUGAACUAGAUGCUGAAUUUGAUGAAAUAAAGGCCCUGAAAAUAAAAAUGGAAAGAUUACAACAAACAAUUAUGACACAGGGAGAGAUAAUCACAACUCUAUUAAGAUUACAGAGAAAUACAAAUGAUAGCAACAUGGGAAAGAGAUCUUGUGUAUUACACAGACAGGGCCAUAAACAAAUCACACAAACAGAA